rnacentral:rRNA from 1 species
AUUGAACGCUGGCGGCAUGCUUUACACAUGCAAGUCGAACGGUAACAGGUUAAGCUGACGAGUGGCGAACGGGUGAGUAAUGCAUCGGAACGUGCCCGAUCGUGGGGGAUAACGCAGCGAAAGCUGCGCUAAUACCGCAUACGAUCUGAGGAUGAAAGCGGGGGACCGUAAGGCCUCGCGCGAUCGGAGCGGCCGAUGUCAGAUUAGGUAGUUGGUGGGGUAAAGGCCCACCAAGCCGACGAUCUGUAGCUGGUCUGAGAGGACGACCAGCCACACUGGAACUGAGACACGGUCCAGACUCCUACGGGGGGCAGCAGUGGGGAAUUUUGGACAAUGGGCGAAAGCCUGAUCCAGCCAUUCCGCGUGCAGGAUGAAGGCCCUCGGGUUGUAAACUGCUUUUGUACAGAACGAAAAGGUUUCUACUGAUACUAGGAGCUCAUGACGGUACUGUAAGAAUAAGCACCGGCUAACUACGUGCCAGCCGCCGCGGUAA